CACAUGUCAACUUUACAACACGUGCAGCUCACAGUCUCACAUUACAAGAAACGUCACGCUUCGAAGUCCAAACAUAAAUGCGGUCUGACCAGAUCCAGUCAGGAGCUGCAGCUCAGGAAUCUUUGACAGGCACAAUGAUAGACCGGAUCUGUGUGCCAAAAGCUCCACUAAUCACUGAUGACUCAUAGUGAAAGUCCUGAAAAGUUGAAUCACUGGACUCAACAGUCACGGGGACGCUCCUCUUCUGAUCACCAUCUGGAAAUUCCUGAUUGUGCAUAUUUUGUUCUGAUGAUAUGAAGGAAAAAAAAAAAAAAAA